rnacentral:lncRNA from 1 species
AGGAACAGUCUGUUUCCUGACAGAAGCGGUGACUGAAAUGAAAUGCCAUGUAUUCAGGUGACCUUGUCUUGCAGAUAUGCUGACAGUGAUGUACUCCUUCUGUAUCUGAAACUGAAAGGAAGAAAAUCUCAACUUCACGAUUGCACUGGAGUUAGUUAUGUCACUGCAGAACCCUUGACACGUGGAGAUGAAAUAGUGAGUGCUGCUAUAAAAAAAUAAUUGUAUCUUCCAAGCACCCUUUCCUUUUAGAGGUAGCUUCCAUUUGGCCUUAAGUAGAACGUGCCUCACAUGUUUGCCUAGCUGUAUAUUUGUUUUCCAUCAGAGAUGUUGGGGUAUACUUUAG